CUCCUGUCGAUCCCCUCGAUCCCCUUGAACACCCGCGCACAUCAGCCCUCUUCGGUCUCCCCCACCCAUAGCCGCUCUCUUCCCUGCCGGCGCCGCCCUCUUCCCCGCCCUCGAGUGGAGAUGCUCCAGAUCGAGUCGUGCAAGUCAGCGGGGCGGCGGCCAGAUCCGCCCACGGCCACAUCUCGCCCAGAUGGAUGGCGCCGGGAGAGGUAGAUCGAGGGGGCGGGUACCGUGUGGGUCUUCUCUUUCGGGACGCUGCUCCGACCCGAUACGGUGAGGAGGCAUCCUCUAUGCGCGGCAACGAGGGCGGCGGGUACCUUGUGGGUCUUCUCUUUUGGUCCAUGAUGCCUGAUUGCUUCAUCUUCGGCUGGAUCGGGGUCCGACCACCCAGUUGAUGUGCAUAGCACGUGUUAACAAAAUCUCAAUUAUCUGCAUGGUAUAUAUAUCUCUAAUCAUUGCCUUUUCCAGAAUGAAGAGAAGGUAUGAGAAAGAUAAUACUAAUAUUCCCUAUACAUUUGACAUUUAACUUUUACCAGAUUCUUGGAUUCUUCAAAAUCAUGUCUAUUAGUGUUUCUUCUAUAUAUAUGCAUAUAAUGAUAAUUUCAAAAGGAAAGAUCAUGCAUAUAUAUAACACAUGUGAAUUGCCACUGAUUUUUCGUCCCCCUUGUUGAAUGAUUCGUGCACGCAUUUGUUUUGUUGGUCUUUUGCUGCAUGUGGGGAGCGUAAACUGGGAGAACGUGUGCAGCAGGCAUCGCUGCUGUGCUGGACGACUUUGUGCGAGGCCAUGGCCAUGGAUGAUGUGCUGUUGGAGAACGGCUCAGGGCUAAGGUAGUCGAUGUGAAUGACCACUGGGUAUGUAAUGGUUAAGUCCUCGUGAAUUCCCACUCUGUUUUUUAGUCAUGUGUAGUGUUGUUCAAUUUGGGCAGGGCUUACAUUCUCUCAUAGGAUCAGACCAAACAAGGUCUCAUAAGCUUUGCCUUGUUUUGUUCGAAACAUAAAAACAGCCAUUAUCGAGGAAAGAGUCAUUCUCACAUAGCGAUUUGUUUGCCUCCUUCCAGAAUUCCAAUUGCUUUUGGAUUCGUAUGAUGCAGCCUACAUGUUCCCAUCACCCAGUAAAGUAUAGAUAUCCAUUAUUGCAUCUCGGUUUAUAUUAUGCAUCCCCGCUGACAGUUUCAUUGUUAAGUAGGAACGAAGAUUACAUUUAUAAAUGACAUAUGUAUAUAAUUGUGUGCUGCAUUCUUGCUGCUUCCAGUAGAUGUACUAUCUUUUCAGUGUUGACUUUUAAAGCAUUUUUGCUGACAAGAAGCUUAUCAGUCGUAAUGUUCAGCACCUAUAUUACCUGAUGGUCAUGUAGUGCUAUGGAUUGGCGAUUAAAGAAACUCGAGCAUAUUAAUGUGGGAAAUAGACAUACAGUAUGUUAUAAAGGAUAAGACAAGUAAUUAUUGGGCGUGAAAGAUCAGGAUGGAAGCAUUUUUUUUGCUAUCAUAUGAAUUAUUGAAUACAAUCUGGUAUUCAACCCCUCAAAAUUAGAUUUAAUUCAUGCUCGUACACCAUCACUCAUACAAUUAGAUUUAAUCUGUUACAAAGGCUACUCUAUAUCUUAUUUUUCUUUCACAGCACAUACAUUAUCAGUUAUAUGUUUGCCUGGGUAGGAAAGUAACAAUCAAUCCCUCAAAAAUAAAAGGAAAGUAAUGAUCAAGACCUUAGAUGGCUGACGGUAACUCCAUUCGUUCUCUUCCUAUUAUUAUUAUUUUAGUUAUUUUUCUAUUCUCAUGGGUAGGUUUCUUCUGUGUUGUUUUGCUUUAGUUUUGCUUUAGGGUUCUUCUGCUUCCACGUUGUAUGGUGGUGAAGCUUCUUCACUUUCCCUAACCAGACGCUGCAUGCUCUGCUCACUGAAGGUGCCCGCUGUUUGUGUUUGGAUGUUGAUGAUGCUGUAUGUCAAGUUGAAGAGGCGCUCAUGAUUCCGAGCUCGGCUCUUCCUGAUUAGCUCGUCACCACGCUCGCAACUGCGGAAUCAUAGGCGUGAAAUGCUUUAGUGUGUCCGUCAAAGCCCGUGUCAUCGAGCAGAAACUAGCCUCAACCAAAUUGCACCUGUCAUCGAUGCACGGCGAGGGCACUCGGAAUCUGGCGUUUGCUCCAUUGCGAAGCAUGCGAUGUUGAGAGAAAAGAGGGAGACUGCACCGGAGGAAAGCGAAGCAUGGUAGCAGGUCUGAAGAUGAGAGCAUGAUGUUCUCUUUUAGCAAAGGAUCCAUGUGUCUAUUUUUUCAUCACGUUGUAACGCACGGGGACCUUUGAUUUCAUUUAGUUUUAUGUUCUACUGUAGGUAGGGAAAUAUGGACACUAAAUAUCCAUUUCUUAGGUGUCAACCUGGUACAUUAGGCUGUAUAGUACAUGGCAGAGUUCUUCCAGGUACUAAUUCAGGUAAUCUGAGUUCAUGUCACUUUGCUUUAAGCAUAGUUAACUAACAGCAAGGACAUUGCCAUAUAUGAAUGUAUGAACAAAAAAAGGAGGUACAGUAAUGAUUUCACAUAUGCACUUCCCCUACAACCUAUGUCGAGGGUACCUACUGUAAUGAUUUUGCAUAUGAACUUGCUAAAAAUAGUACUGCUACCUUGAGUUUGUCAAAGAAUAAUGCCACUAAAUUGCCAGCCAUUUUGGAUCUGUCAUCUUUUUCCCCACUAGGGUGCUUCCUUAAAAUUUACUACUUUAGAGACACGAGGAUCCUCAAGUUAACACACUUGAUUCUUACUGCUGCUUAUGCAUCCCUGAACUUCAGUUAAAUUUAUGAUUAUGUGGAUAUUUCCUAUACUUUAUCAAGUGUAGGGUUCUUAAAAUAAGGACAGACAUUUGUUUCACCUUUUGUAGUUCAUCAUAAUAGCAUAUGAUUUU